rnacentral:rRNA from 1 species
AUACGGAGGAUCCGAGCGUUAUCCGGAUUUAUUGGGUUUAAAGGGUGCGCAGGCGGCCAUUUAAGUCAGCGGUUAAGUCGUGGGGCUCAACCCCAUUCUGCCGUUGAUACUGGGUGGCUUGAUUGCGGUCGAGGUUGGCGGAAUUCGUUGUGUAGCGGUGAAAUGCAUAGAUAUGACGAAGAACACCGAUUGCGUAGGCUGCUGACCAGAACGCAAAUGACACUCAUGCACGAAAGUGCGGGGAUCGAACAGUAUUAGAUACCCUGUUAGUCCGCACAGUAAACGAUGAAUACUUGUUUUCGGCGAUAGAAUGUCGGAGGCAAAGCGAAAGCGAUAAGUAUUCCACCUGGGGAGUACGCCGGCAACGGUGAAACUCAAAGGAAUUGACGGGG